UACGGAGGGAGCUAGCGUUGUUCGGAAUUACUGGGCGUAAAGCGCACGUAGGCGGCUUUGUAAGUUAGAGGUGAAAGCCCGGGGCUCAACUCCGGAACUGCCUUUAAGACUACAUCGCUUGAAUCCAGGAGAGGUGAGUGGAAUUCCGAGUGUAGAGGUGAAAUUCGUAGAUAUUCGGAAGAACACCAGUGGCGAAGGCGGCUCACUGGACUGGUAUUGACGCUGAGGUGCGAAAGCGUGGGGAGCAAACAGG
rnacentral:rRNA from 1 species